UGUUUUGUAGGUUGGUAUUUGUGAAAAUAUGUGUAAAAGAUUGGGGGGAUGAGAAAAGAAUAGAUCAUAUUUAUAAUUUUGUUGUUUGAAUGGAUGAACCCAUUGCCUACGUACCAUCACAAAGGUAGGAUAAAAACCUCGUAGUUCGGGGUAAAAAUCUCAAAGAUUGGUGAAUUGAUUUGAUCAAAAGCCUUAAGGUCUUUUGUUAUCAAAGGGAGAAAACUCAACCUAAACCAACAAUCCA
rnacentral:lncRNA from 1 species